rnacentral:rRNA from 1 species
UACGAAGGGGGCUAGCGUUGUUCGGAUUUACUGGGCGUAAAGCGCACGUAGGCGGAUCGUUAAGUCAGGGGUGAAAUCCUGGAGCUCAACUCCAGAACUGCCUUUGAUACUGGAGAUCUUGAGUCCGGAAGAGGUAAGUGGAACUGCGAGUGUAGAGGUGAAAUUCGUAGAUAUUCGCAAGAACACCAGUGGCGAAGGCGGACUCACCUGGCCCGGAACUGACGCUGAGGUGCGGAAAGCGUGGGGAGCAACAGGGAUUAA